rnacentral:misc_RNA from 1 species
CAAUUAUGUCUCAUCAGGAUUCACCUCUCUGUACAAUGUACGAUCGCCAGGAUGAUUAUGAUCUCGAUGAAGAUAACGAGGAAUAUAUGGAGGAGGAUAGAGACGUCGAAGAUCCAGAUGAUAGUGAUGAAGAUACCGAAGAAGCUAGUGAAACUGACAUGGGAAAAUCAGAAGAAUAUACAGAAAUUAAAGAACAGAUGUAUCAAGACAAGUUAGCAGGCUUAAAGAAGCAAUUGCAACAGCUAAACGACGGUACACAUCCUGACUACAAUCGUAAAUUGAAACGACUGGAAACACAAUAUAGGGAACGGUUGAGUUUGAAUAUAAUUUACCGAGAUUACUUGACGGAAUGUGUUGAGCGGGACUAUAUAUUAGAAAAGAAAGCAGCAGUAAAAGAAUUUGAAGAAAAGAAAAUAGAUUUAAAGGAAAAUUUACUUACUGACAUGGAAGAGAAACGUAAAAUUAUUGAGUCUGACCGUCAUACAAUGGAACUUGCAGGUGAUUCAAUGGAGGUGAAACCAGUAAUGACAAGAAAAUUACGAAGACGUCCCAAUGAUCCAGUACCCGAAAAGGUAGAAAAACGACGAAAACCAGCUCCGGCAUCAUUAAAUUACUUAUUGGAUGAAAAAGAGAUAGAGAGCGAUUUAAAAACGAUCAGUCGGGGUAAAGUACUUACCACCGUUCGUAAGCCAGGUAUAUUUUUGCCAUUGGUUUUGCCACAUUAUAAUGCAGUAAAUAUACCAUCUCAACAUAUAUCACAAUCUUCUGAGACUCCAUUAGUAGAAACUCGGAUAGAAGAUGGAAAAUUGUUGUAUGAGCGGAGAUGGUAUCACCGUGGGCAACCUGUCUACGUCGAGGGCAAGGAUCUCGCAAAGUUCGCGGCACACAUUUCGGCAAUUGGCACCGAAGCGAUCUGGGUGAAAAAAGUUUCGGAUUCCAGCAAAGUACGCAUUUAUACGUCGCAGUUGAGUCGCGGGAAGAUUUCAAUCAAACGACGUGCGUCCUAAUUAAUUUCUCAAUCGCCAUUCUUCGUUAAACUUCUGACAAAGAGCGUUUGUUACUGACUGAAGCGGUAUCGUCUGGUAUCCAGUCGAUGAUUUUCACGCUGCUGCUCUUCUGCCACCAGUAGAACCAUGCUUUCUGGUGGUACUGUAUCGAUAUGUAAAUCCAGAUGAAGUACGAGAGAAUCAGAAACGCCAUCAUGGAAAGCAGGGAAUAAGUGGUCCAACGUGCGGGUGGAAAAUUGUCGUAAUUAUUCAUAGCGUAAAAGUCCGCCGCCACCACGCACAUACACAGCCAGAUUAUAAUGGACCGAAGGACUUUGUAACGAGGUGUCCGUUCCACCCGGAAUUCGUGGCCGCACAAUUCGCAACUGGUUCUGUUGCUCUCUUCUAGCCAUCGUUCCAAGCACUUUAGAUGGAUCGCGCCCAUUGUCCCCUAAUUGCCAUGUUGAAAUUAGCAAUUUAUCUUGUAAUCUUCUUUGUAAAGUUUUCCAAAUAUCUAUUUUAGCUAAAUGUAUGUGUAUAUUAAGUGUGAUGUUGAACUUUAUAAAUUCUGGCAAUGAUCAAAGUAUGUUGCAAGUCGACUAAAGAGAAAAGAUUGUAUCUAUUCUCAGGUCGUAAUAAAUUAGACGCAAGAAGUUUCUAAAAUAGAAACUGUAAAAGUUGUUUUAGUUUUCUUCAGUUUGUAAUGUUUAGCUGUCUACUUUUUAGGAACAUUGUACAAAUAAAUGUAAUAUUUUAAAACCGCAUACAAGCCACAAAUUGAUCAUU